GACGAACGCUGGCGGCGUGCCUAACACAUGCAAGUCGAACGAGAGCACCCGGUGCUUGCACUGUUCAAUCUAGUGGCGAACGGGUGAGUAACACGUGUGUAACCUGCUCAUCAGAGGGGGAUAACAUCCGGAAACGGAUGCUAACACCGCAUAGGUCUCCGAACCGCAUGGUUUGAAGAGGAAAAGAGGCGCAAGCGUCUGCUGAUGCAUGGACCCGCGGUGCAUUAGCUAGUUGGUGAGGUAACGGCUCACCAAGGCCGUGAUGCAUAGCCGACCUGAGAGGGUGAUCGGCCACAUUGGGACUGAGACACGGCCCAAACGCCUGCGGGAGGGAGCAGUAGGGAAUCUUACGCAAUAGAGGCGAGUAUGACGGAGCGACGCCGAGUGAGUGGAGGAGGUGCUCGGAUCGUGAAGCUGUGUUGUUGGUGAAGAACAGGUGCUGGAGUAACUGUUGGCGCAGUGACGGUAUCUAAUCAGGAAGCAACGGCUAACUACGUG
rnacentral:rRNA from 1 species